CCUACGUGCGGCAGCAGUGGGGGAUAUUGCACAAUGGGGGGAACCCUGAUGCAGCGACGCCGCGUGGGUGAAGGAGUGCUUCGGCAUGUAAAGCCCUAUCAGCAGGGAAGAAGCAAGACGGUACCUGACUACAAAGCCCCGGCUAACUACGUACCAGCAGCCGCGGCAAUACGUAGGGGGCGAGCGUUAUCCGAAGUAACUGGGUGAAAAGGGAUCGUAGACGGCCAUGCAAGCCAGGGGUGAAAGCCCGGGGCGCAACCCCGGGACUGCCCUUGGAACUGCAUGGCGGGAGUGCGGGAGGGGCAGGCGGAAUUCCUGGGGUAGCGGGGAAAUGCGUAGAGAUCAGGAGGAACACCGGCGGCGAAGGCGGCCUGCUGGACCGCGACUGACGUUGAGGCUCGAAAGCGUGGGGAGCGAACAGGAUUAGAUACCCUUGUAGUC
rnacentral:rRNA from 1 species